AACUUCACCAACGGUUUUUNGUUCCGCNUCGUGNAGANCCAGCGAAAUGCGAUAAGUAUNUGANUGCNGAUUUUCGGGAUCNUCGAAUCUUGAACNCNCNUUGCNCCCUUNGUNUUCCAAAGGGCNUGCCUGUUGAGCGUCAUUUCUCCCUCAAACCNUCGGGUUUGGUGNUGAGCGAUACGCUGGGUUUGCCUGAAAGAAAGGCGGAGUAUAAACUAAUGGAUAGGUUUUUUCUUCCACUCAUUGGUACAAACUCCAAACAUUCUUCCAAAUUCGACCUCAAAUCAGGUAGGACUACCCGCUGAACUUAAGCAUAUCAAUAAGCGGAGGAAAAGAAACCAACAGGGAUUGCCUUAGUAGCGGCGAGUGAAGCGGCAAAAGCUCAAAUUUGAAAUCUGGCACUUUCAGUGUCCGAGUUGUAAUUUGAAGAAGGUAUCUUUGGGUCUGGCUCUUGUCUAUGUUUCUUGGAACAGAACGUCACAGAGGGUGAGAAUCCCGUGCGAUGAGAUGACCCAGACCUAUGUAAAGUUCCUUCGAAGAGUCGAGUUGUUUGGGAAUGCAGCUCUAAGUGGGUGGUAAAUUCCAUCUAAAGCUAAAUAUUGGCGAGAGACCGAUAGCGAACAAGUACAGUGAUGGAAAGAUGAAAAGAACUUUGAAAAGAGAGUGAAAAAGUACGUGAAAUUGUUGAAAGGGAAGGGCUUGAGAUCAGACUUGGUAUUUUGUAUGUUACUCUCUCGGGGGUGGCCUCUACAGUUUACCGGGCCAGCAUCAGUUUGGGCGGUAGGAGAAUUGCAAAGAAAUGUGGCACUGCUUCGGUAGUGUGUUAUAGUCUUUGUCGAUACUGCCAGCCUAGACUGAGGACUGCGGCUUCGGCCUAGGAUGUUGGCAUAAUGAUCUAA
rnacentral:rRNA from 1 species